AUUGAACGCUGGCGGCAGGCCUAACACAUGCAAGUCGAGCGGAGCGGCGGACGGGUGAGUAAUGCCUAGGAAUCUGCCUGGUAGUGGGGGAUAACGUCCGGAAGCGGGCGCUAAUACCGCCUACUAUCAGAUGAGCCUGGGUCGGAGUGGCUAGUUGGUGGGGGAAAGGCCUACCAAGGCGACGAUCCGUAACUGGUCUGAGAGGAUGAUCAGUCACAAUGGAACUGGGAAACGGUCCAGACUCCUACGGGAGGCAGCAGUGGGGAAUAUUGGACAAUUGGCGAAAGCCUGAUCCAGCCAUGCCGCGUGGGUGAAGAAGGUCUUCGGAUUGGAAAGAACUUUAAGUUGGGAGGCGUUACCAACAGAAUAAGCACCGGCUAACUUCGUGCCAGCCGCCGCGGUAAUACC
rnacentral:rRNA from 1 species